UACGGAAGGGGGCUAGCGUUGUUCGGAAUUACUGGGCGUAAAGCGCGCGCAGGCGGUCCUUCAAGUCAGAGGUGAAAGCCCAGAGCUCAACUCUGGAAUGGCCUUUGAGACUAGAGGACUUGGGUACGGGAGAGGUGAGUGGAAUUCCGAGUGUAGAGGUGAAAUUCGUAGAUAUUCGGAAGAACACCAGUGGCGAAGGCGGCUCACUGGCCCGUUACCGACGCUCAGGCGCGACAGCGUGGGGAG
rnacentral:rRNA from 1 species